rnacentral:rRNA from 1 species
AACUGCAUUCGAAACUACGUAACUCGAGUCCUGGAGAGGAGAGCGGAUUCUUGGUGUACCGGUGAAAUGCGUUGAGAUCAAGAAGAACGCCGGUGGCGAAGGCGGCUCUCUGGACAGAAACUGACGCUGAGGCACGAAAGCUAGGGGAGCAAACAGGAUUAGAUACCCUGGUAGUCCUAGCCGUAAACGUUGUGCACUUGGUGUGGGAGGAGUUUACCCCUUCCGUGCCGUAGCUAACGUGUUAAGUGCACCGCCUGGGGAGUACGGCCGCAAGGCUAAAACUCAAAGAAAUUGACGGGGGCCCGCACAAGCGGUGGAGCAUGUGGCUUAAUUCGAUGCAACGCGAAGAACCUUACCUGGGCUUGACAUGGCGAGACUUCGGUCUAAACCGGUGAAAGUCGGUUGAACGCACACAGGUGCUGCAUGGCUGUCGUCAGCUCGUGCCGUGAGGUGUUGGGUUAAGUCCCGCAACGAGCGCAACCCUUGUGGGUAGUUGCCACCCCCGUUCUGCGGGGAGCACUCUACUCAGACUGCCCGUGACAAGCGGGAGCCCGGUGGGGAUGACGUCAAGUCCGUAUGGCCCUUAUGCCCAGGGCUGCACACGUGCUACAAUGGUCGGUACAGAAAGAUGCAAGACCGCGAGGUGGAGCAAAUCUCCAAAACCGGCCCCAGUUCGGAUUGCAGUCUGCAACUCGACUGCAUGAAGCCGGAAUCGCUAGUAACGGCGUAUCAGCUACGACGCCGUGAAUACGUUCCCGGGCAUUGUACACACCGCCCGUCACAUCAUGAAAGCCGAUUGGACCCGAAGUCGUCUAAUCAACCCGCAGGGGAGAUAGGCGCCGAAGGUGUG